GAAGAUGUCACACUAACCUGCUAAAUUGGUACCCCGGCAAUAACACACCGGCAUCCUC
rnacentral:tRNA from 1 species